rnacentral:rRNA from 1 species
AUGGUUUGCAGCAAUAUAUGGAGAAUAAGGUUAGUUUUCAUAGAAGUAAGCUAUUCUGCUUUCACGCAGCUCAUGGUAUCUCAGGAUAUGACCACAACAAAGUCGACGAUGCAGUUCUUCACCACACAUGCCAUGUUUGAGGUUCAGAGUACCAAGGAGGCCUUGGAGGUUGAAAACCCAAAUCAUGUGGCAAUUAUCACAGUGGUAUCUGGGGACAUCAAUGAAACUCAGUUGAUGGAGAGGAUGCAUUAUAUGUUCAACCGGAAUUGGAAGUGGAGAUGUAAGAAACAGGGGGAGAAUGCUUUCCUGGUGAGAUUUCCUAACAAAGUAAGAUUGGUGGAGUUGACCAAAUCAAGAUAG